GGUCCUGUAGUGUAGUGGUGAUCACUUGGGAUUUUGACUUCACGACGCGAGACGACUGCGAGAAUGUUCCCAAAACCCAGGUUCGAACCCUGGCAGGACCU